rnacentral:misc_RNA from 1 species
AAAAACAAAUGUUUAAAAGAAGCAGCGAAGUCCUUCAACUAUUUGGGGCAGAUAGUCCGGUUGAUUGUCUUGUAAAGCAAAUUUGUUUUUGCAUUCAACCGUUGUGCUGGGUAAGGCUGCAAUUUCUAUCUUCAUCCUUUAUUUUUCUUUUUUCAACCUUGAUUAUCAAUCUUGUGAUAUGAAUGCCCACAAGUCAUAUGCUUGUCUUAUUAUGAGAAAGUCUUUCUACUCUCUCUCCCUCUAUAUGCUAUCUACUUGAAUUUAAAUAUGCUUUCAUGAUUAAACAGCCAUCAAAGAGCUAGCAUGCCUUCAACAAAAUUCGAUGCUAAUGAUAUGAAGUUCUAAUGAUUUUGCUGUACUUAGGUGUCAAUUAAUGGUAUUAUAUCUAAUUCAUAGAUCCCCGACAACAAAGCUGUUCUAACUGCCUCAGCUUUUUUGUUUUACAACAUUUUUCCUUGUUUUGUCUUAUGUUUCCCAGGUAGCAUUGAUCCCGUUGUGGCCAAGUUAAAACCUUUCUCUAGCUGUUCAACUUUGCAAACAAGCAGGAGUGCGGAUCAUGGAGUAAAAGCAGCACUUUUCUUUCUACACAUGGGAUUGCCUUAUGCUUGCGCUUGGUGACACUGAUUUUAUCCCAUGUGAAGCAAUUCGACGUAGGAAGCAACAUUUGUGUUCUGAACCAUGUAAAGUGGUGGAUCUCCCCCCACGUCCUUCCUUUCUAAGGCCUUGCCUUCAGAACCUAGCAUUUGUUUCUGAUGCUGAUUUGGGGGCUGGGUCCAUUGGUCCUGAUCCCUCAAGGGAUGUAAGGCAAAUAAAGCCACGUUGUCUGUUGGAACUGGAAACUUCAAUGCACCCACGAGUUUAUUUUGUCAGUAAAGUGCAAGUAUAAUACAACAAACCAACCUA